GACGAACGCUGGCGGCGUGCCUAAUACAUGCAAGUCGAGCGGAAGUUGGAGAGCUUGCUCUUCAACUUUAGCGGCGGACGGGUGAGUAACACGUGGGCAACCUGCCCUGCAGAUCGGGAUAACUCCGGGAAACCGGUGCUAAUACCGAAUAGUUUUCGCCACCUCCUGGUGGCGUACGGAAAGACGGUUUCGGCUGUCACUGCAGGAUGGGCCCGCGGCGCAUUCGCUAGUUGGUGGGGUAACGGCCCACCAAGGCGACGAUGCGUAGCCGACCUGGGAGGGUGAUCGGCCACACUGGGACUGAGACACGGCCCAGACUCCUACGGGAGGCAGCAGUAGGGAAUCUUCCGCAAUGGACGAAAGUCUGACGGAGCAACGCCGCGUGAGUGACGAAGGUUUUCGGAUCGUAAAACUCUGUUGUGAGGGAAGAACAAGUACCACUUAACUACUGGUACCUUGACGGUACCUCACCAGAAAGCCACGGCUAACUACGUGCCAGCCGCCGCAGUAAUAC
rnacentral:rRNA from 1 species